rnacentral:rRNA from 1 species
GACGAACCGUGCGAACGUUGUUCGGAUUCACUGGGCUUAAAGGGCGCGUAGGCGGGCGGUCAAGUCGGGGGUGAAAUCUUUCAGCUUAACUGGAAAAGUGCCUCCGAUACUGAUCGUCUUGAGGGAGGUAGGGGCAUGUGGAACUUCCGGUGGAGCGGUGAAAUGCGUAGAUAUCGGAAGGAACGCCGGUGGCGAAGGCGGUUAGCUGGGCAGUUGCUGACACUGAGGCGCGACAGCGUGGGGAGCAAACAGG